rnacentral:rRNA from 1 species
UACGGAGGGUGCGAGCGUUGUUCGGAAUCACUGGGCGUAAAGCGCGUGUAGGCGGCCCACUAAGUCUGAUGUGAAAGCCCGGGGCUCACCCCCGGAAGUGCAUUGGAAACUGGUGGACUCGAGUCCCGGAGAGGAGAGUGGAAUUCCUGGUGUAGCGGUGAAAUGCGUAGAUAUCGGGAGGAACACCAGUGGCGAAGGCGACCUUCUGGGCCUUGCCUGACGCUGAGGCGCGAAAGCGUGGGGAGCGAACCGG